rnacentral:misc_RNA from 1 species
GAUGAAGAACGUAGCGAAAUGCGAUAAGUAAUGUGAAUUGCAAUUCAGUGAAUCAUCGAAUCUUUGAACGCACAUUGCGCCCCUUGGUAUUCCGAGGGGCAUGCCUGUUCGAGCGUCAUUAUCACCCCUCAAGCUCAGCUUGGUGUUGGGGCCGGCCCGUCACAGGGCCGCCCCUAAAAGCAGUGGCGGUGCCAUCUGGCUCUACGCGUAGUAAUACUCCUCGCGACAGAGUCCCGGUGGUGUCCUGCCAGAACCCCCCAUCUUUUUAAUGAUUGACCUCGGAUCAGGUAGGGAUACCCGCUGAACUUAAGCAUAUCAAUAAGCGGAGGA